CCGGCGCACGGGUGAGUAACACGUAUCCAACCUGCCGUCUACUCUUGGACAGCCUUCUGAAAGGAAGAUUAAUACAAGAUGGCAUCAUGAGUCCACAUGUUCACAUGAUUAAAGGUAUUCCGGUAGACGAUGGGGAUGCGUUCCAUUAGAUAGUAGGCGGGGUAACGGCCCACCUAGUCUUCGAUGGAUAGGGGUUCUGAGAGGAAGGUCCCCCACAUUGGAACUGAGACACGGUCCAA
rnacentral:rRNA from 1 species